rnacentral:rRNA from 1 species
UACGUAGGUGGCAAGCGUUGUCCGGAUUUACUGGGCGGAAAGAGCGCGCAGGCGGUCGUACAAGUCGCGUGUGAAAGCCCCCGGCUCAACUGGGGAGGGUCACGCGAUACUGUUCGACUCGAAGGCAGGAGAGGGAAGCAGAAUUCCCGGUGUAGUGGUGAAAUGCGUAGAUAUCGGGAGGAAUACCAGUGGCGAAGGCGGCUUCCUGGCCUGUUCUUGACGCUGAGGCGCGAAAGCUAGGGUAGCAAACGGG